UACGGAGGAUGCGAGCGUUAUCCGGAUUUAUUGGGUUUAAAGGGUGCGCAGGCGGUCCAUUAAGUCAGCGGUGAAAUCUAGAGGCUCAACCUCUAAACUGCCGUUGAAACUGGUAGACUUGAGUAUAGAUGAAGUAGGCGGAAUUCGUUGUGUAGCGGUGAAAUGCAUAGAUAUAACGAGGAACCCCGAUUGCGUAGGCAGCUUACUAAACUAUAACUGACGCUCAGGCACGAAAGCGUGGGUAUCAAACAGG
rnacentral:rRNA from 1 species